rnacentral:rRNA from 1 species
GACGAACGCUGGCGGCGUGCCUAAUACAUGCAAGUCGAACGAACUCUGGUAUUGAUUGGUGCUUGCAUCAUGAUUUACAUUUGAGUGAGUGGCGAACUGGUGAGUAACACGUGGGAAACCUGCCCAGAAGCGGGGGAUAACACCUGGAAACAGAUGCUAAUACCGCAUAACAACUUGGACCGCAUGGUCCGAGUUUGAAAGAUGGCUUCGGCUAUCACUUUUGGAUGGUCCCGCGGCGUAUUAGCUAGAUGGUGAGGUAACGGCUCACCAUGGCAUGAUACGUAGCCGACCUGAGAGGGUAAUCGGCCACAUUGGGACUGAGACACGGCCCAAACUCCUACGGGAGGCAGCAGUAGGGAAUCUUCCACAAUGGACGAAAGUCUGAUGGAGCAACGCCGCGUGAGUGAAGAAGGGUUUCGGCUCGUAAAACUCUGUUGUUAAAGAAGAACAUAUCUGAGAGUAACUGUUCAGGUAUUGACGGUAUUUAACCAGAAAGCCACGGCUAACUACGUGCCAGCAGCCGCGGUAAUACGUAGGUGGCAAGCGUUGUCCGGAUUUAUUGGGCGUAAAGCGAGCGCAGGCGGUUUUUUAAGUCUGAUGUGAAAGCCUUCGGCUCAACCGAAGAAGUGCAUCGGAAACUGGGAAACUUGAGUGCAGAAGAGGACAGUGGAACUCCAUGUGUAGCGGUGAAAUGCGUAGAUAUAUGGAAGAACACCAGUGGCGAAGGCGGCUGUCUGGUCUGUAACUGACGCUGAGGCUCGAAAGUAUGGGUAGCAAACAGGAUUAGAUACCCUGGUAGUCCAUACCGUAAACGAUGAAUGCUAAGUGUUGGAGGGUUUCCGCCCUUCAGUGCUGCAGCUAACGCAUUAAGCAUUCCGCCUGGGGAGUACGGCCGCAAGGCUGAAACUCAAAGGAAUUGACGGGGGCCCGCACAAGCGGUGGAGCAUGUGGUUUAAUUCGAAGCUACGCGAAGAACCUUACCAGGUCUUGACAUACUAUGCAAAUCUAAGAGAUUAGACGUUCCCUUCGGGGACAUGGAUACAGGUGGUGCAUGGUUGUCGUCAGCUCGUGUCGUGAGAUGUUGGGUUAAGUCCCGCAACGAGCGCAACCCUUAUUAUCAGUUGCCAGCAUUAAGUUGGGCACUCUGGUGAGACUGCCGGUGACAAACCGGAGGAAGGUGGGGAUGACGUCAAAUCAUCAUGCCCCUUAUGACCUGGGCUACACACGUGCUACAAUGGAUGGUACAACGAGUCGCGAACUCGCGAGAGUAAGCUAAUCUCUUAAAGCCAUUCUCAGUUCGGAUUGUAGGCUGCAACUCGCCUACAUGAAGUCGGAAUCGCUAGUAAUCGCGGAUCAGCAUGCCGCGGUGAAUACGUUCCCGGGCCUUGUACACACCGCCCGUCACACCAUGAGAGUUUGUAACACCCAAAGUCGGUGGGGUAACCUUUUAGGAACCAGCCGCCUAAGGUGGGACAGAUGAUUAGGGUG